rnacentral:rRNA from 1 species
GUUUGAUCAUGGCUCAGAACGAACGCUGGCGGCAGGCUUAACACAUGCAAGUCGAGCGCCCCGCAAGGGGAGCGGCAGACGGGUGAGUAACGCGUGGGAAUCUACCCAUCCCUACGGAACAACUCCGGGAAACUGGAGCUAAUACCGUAUACGCCCUACGGGGGAAAGAUUUAUCGGGGAUGGAUGAGCCCGCGUUGGAUUAGCUAGUUGGUGGGGUAAUGGCCUACCAAGGCGACGAUCCAUAGCUGGUCUGAGAGGAUGAUCAGCCACAUUGGGACUGAGACACGGCCCAAACUCCUACGGGAGGCAGCAGUGGGGAAUU